rnacentral:lncRNA from 1 species
UAAUCAAUUUCCUGGCCGACUUGCUCUUUACGAAUAACAAUUGACCACACAAACUUAUAGUCACUUUUCCACCUUAUAGCGUAUUUUAAGUUGUUAAGCAUAUAUGCAUAUAACUCCAAUAAAAAAUAGGUAAAACAAAAGCAAACGGUCCUUUGGCAAUAUCUUUUGUUCAUAAUUCGGUUAAUAUAUGAUUUGGAAGUGUAUGAAAAUUAAUGUUUCAAAAUUUGGUUAUUACAAAAUUAAAGUGGCGAGGGUCAAUAUGACAACGGAGGAUUUUGUGGUGGACAGAAGACGAGUAAGACUUCUCCACUAGUUCAUGAUGCGAAAAAACGCUGCCUCCUUUGAUUCCAUUCAUCUCUUUUACGAGCAGCCCAAUUGACUAAAACAGACCAACUUCUAGAAAGUUCUAAGACGAGAUAGUCUGACCUCAGUCAAACCAUUCUUUAUACGCGGUUUAUGAUUUAAAAGCAUCAAAAUACACACAUAUGACAUAUGCUUGGGCAGUUUGCUCGUAUAAACGAGGCUGCUUCCUCUGAAUCCACAUUCCAUAAGAAAACGUUAGGU